AUCUGACUAUUCACAUUUUUGCUCUAGACCAAGGUAUUCAUGUCCAGAUAUUUUUUGUUGGUGUAUUUUAGCAGAGUUUAACUGUUUGCCAUAUAGCCAAUAUGGAAUUAUUAGACAUUUAUCGUCACAAUUAGUUUAGAUUUAUGUAAAACUGAACAUUGCAUAUGGGGGAGAUGCCAUAUGUUUUUGCCUAAGACGGUAAUAUUACUUGCACUGGCCCUAUAUGAAGGAUAUUAAUUGAAAGUGAU